GGAAAGUCCAUAGUUACAAUAAAAAUUCUCAUAUAACAUUCACCUAUGACAGCUUUGAUGGAGAGGAAGGUUUUCCGGGUGAUCUUUCUGUAUCGGUAACAUAUAUGCUAAUUGGAACGAACAGGUUGGCCGUGAAAAUGUUCGCGCAGCCCCUCAACAAGGCUACUCCAGUGAACCUAGCCUUGCACACUUAUUGGAACCUUGGCGGCCAUAAUAGUGGUAAUAUCCUCUCCCACACUAUCCAGCUCUUUGGAUCUCAAAUCACUCCAGUAGAUAAUGAUCUCCUUCCUACUGGAAAAGUUACCCCCGUAAAAGGCACACCCUUUGACUUCUUAGAGCCCCGCGAGAUUGGAAGCAAGUUCAAUGAGC
rnacentral:misc_RNA from 1 species